rnacentral:rRNA from 1 species
CUCAGAGCGAACGUUAGCGGCGGGCUUAACACAUGCAAGUCGAGCGAGAACGGGGCAACCCUAGUACAGCGGCGGACGGGUGAGUAACACGUAGGUAACUUUCCCUUGAGCGGGGGACAACGGUCCGAAAGGACCGCUAAUACCGCAUACGUUCUUCUGGUCUUAGGGCUGGGAGAGGAAAGCUAGGCUAACAAUAGUCCGGCACUCAAGGAGAGGCCUGCGUAGCAUCAGCUAGUUGGUGGGGUAAUGGCCUACCAAGGCAAAGACGCUUAGCUGGUCUGAGAGGAUGAUCAGCCACACUGGGACUGAGACACGGCCCAGACUCCUACGGGAGGCAGCAGUGGGGAAUAUUGGACAAUGGGCGCAAGCCUGAUCCAGCCACGCCGCGUGAGUGAUGAAGGCC